rnacentral:ncRNA from 3 species
AACUGGCCCACAAAGUCCC